UACGUAGGUGGCAAGCGUUACUCGGAAUUACUAGGCGUAAAGCGCAGGUAGCUGGUUGGAUAAGUCUGUGAUGAAAUCUCCUGGCCUAACUGGGAGGGGUUUAUGGAUACUGUCUGACUUGAGUGUGGGAGAGGCAACUGGAAUUCCCGGUGUAGCGGUGAAAUGCGUAGAUAUCAGGAGGAACACCGAUGGCGAAGGCAGGUCUCUGGGCCUGCACUGACGCUCAUGCACGAAAGCGUGGGGGAGCAAACAGG
rnacentral:rRNA from 1 species